UGGGGAAUAUUGCACAAUGGGCACAAGCCUGAUGCAGCCAUGCCGCGUGUGUGAAGAAGGCCUUCGGGUUGUAAAGCACUUUCAGCGGGGAGGAAGGCGUUAAGGUUAAUAACCUUGGCGAUUGACGUUACCCGCAGAAGAAGCACCGGCUAACUCCGUGCCAGCAGCCGCGGUAAUACGGAGGGUGCAAGCGUUAAUCGGAAUUACUGGGCGUAAAGCGCACGCAGGCGGUCUGUCAAGUCGGAUGUGAAAUCCCCGGGCUCAACCUGGGAACUGCAUUCGAAACUGGCAGGCUAGAGUCUUGUAGAGGGGGGUAGAAUUCCAGGUGUAGCGGUGGAAUGCGUAGAGAUCUGGAGGAAUACCGGUGGCGAAGGCGGCCCCCUGGACGAAGACUGACGCUAAGGUGCGAAAGCGUGGGGAGCAAACAGG
rnacentral:rRNA from 1 species